GACGAACGCUGGCGGCGUGCUUAACACAUGCAAGUCGAACGGAAAGGCCCUGCUUUUGUGGGGUGCUCGAGUGGCGAACGGGUGAGUAACACGUGAGUAACCUGCCCUUGACUUUGGGAUAACUUCAGGAAACUGGGGCUAAUACCGGAUAGGAGCUCCUGCUGCAUGGUGGGGGUUGGAAAGGUUCGGCGGUUGGGGAUGGACUCGCGGCUUAUCAGCUUGUUGGUGGGGUAGUGGCUUACCAAGGCUUUGACGGGUAGCCGGCCUGAGAGGGUGACCGGCCAAAUGGGGACUGAGAUACGGCCCGGACUCCUACGGGAGGCAGCAGUGGGGAAGAGUGCACAAUGGGCGGAAGCCUGAUGCAGCAACGCCGUGUGCGGGAUGGCGGCCUUCGGGUUGUAGACCGCUUUCGCCUGUGACGAAGCGUGAGUGACGGUAAUGGGUAAAGAAGCACCGGCUAACUACGUG
rnacentral:rRNA from 1 species